rnacentral:rRNA from 1 species
GACGUAGGGGGGCGAGCGUUGUCCGGAUUUAUUGGGCGUAAAGAGCGUGUAGGCGGUCAGGUAGGUCUGUUGUGAAAACUCGAGGCUCAACCUCGAGACGCCGAUGGAAACCAUCUGACUAGAGUCCGGAAGAGGAGAGUGGAAUUCCUGGUGUAGCGGUGAAAUGCGCAGAUAUCAGGAAGAACACCCCGUGGCUAAGGCGGCUCUCUAGUACGGUACUGACGCUGAGACGCGAAAGCGUGGGGAGCGAACAGG